rnacentral:rRNA from 1 species
AAAAAAAAACAAAGGCAUGUAAAGGAUCCCUUGGUAUCCAAAAGCGAAGAAGGACGUGGCUACCGGCGAAACGUUUCGGGGAGUUGGAAGUAAGCUUUGAUCCGAAAGUAUCCGAAUGAGGAAACUCAAUAACUUCUUACUGAAUCUAUAAGUAAAGAAAGAGCGAACCUAGGGAAUUGAAACAUCUUAGUACCUAGAGGAAAAGAAAGUAAAAACGAUUCCCGGAGUAGUGGCGAACGAAAUGGGAACAGCCUAAACUUUUUCUUUAAAUAGAAAAAGGGUUGCGGGGUAAAAAUUCGGAAACGAAAAACAAAAAAAUUAGGUGAACUAAUUGGAAAAUUAGACCAAAGAAAGUGAUAGUCUUGUAACCGAAAAUUAAAACAUUUUUUUAUUCCCAAGUAGCAUGGGCCACGUGGAAGCCCGUGUGAAUCUGCGAGGACCACCUCGUAAGGCUAAAUAUUCUUGGAUGUCCGAUAGCGUAUAGUACCGCGAGGGAAAGGUGAAAAGAACCCCGGGAGGGGAGUGAAAUAGAACGUGAAAUUGCAUGCCCACAAACAGAAGGAGAACGACUUAGCGUUUGACUUCGUGCCUGUUGAAGAAUGUUCCGGCGACUUAGAGUUAGUGGCAGGUUAAGAUAGAGAUAUUGGAGCCAUAGUGAAAGCGAGCUUGAAUAGAGCGUUAGUCACUAGUUCUAGACCCGAACCCGGUUGAUCUAACCAUGAGCAGGAUGAAACUGAGGUAACACUUAGUGGAGGUCCGAACCGACUGAUGUUGAAAAAUCAGCGGAUGACUUGUGGUUAGGGGUGAAAUGCCAAUCGAAACCGGAGCUAGCUGGUUCUCCCCGAAAUGUAUUUAGGUGCAGCGGUUAAUGUUCUAGCGUAGGGGUAAAGCACUGUUUCGGUGCGGGCUGGUAAUUCGGUACCAAAUCGAGGCAAACUCUGAAUACUACGUGUAUAGUUAACCAGUAAGACUGUGGGGGAUAAGCUUCAUAGUCAAGAGGGAAACAGCCCAGAUCACCAGCUAAGGCCCCUAAAUAAUGACUAAGUGAUAAAGGAAGUGGAAAGGCUUAGACAACCAGGAGGUUUGCUUAGAAGCAGCAAUCCUUUAAAAAGUGCGUAAUAGCUUACUGGUCUAGCAAUUCUGCGCCGAAAACUUAUGGGACUAAGUCAUUUGCCGAAGCUGUGAGAUAAAAGUAAAUUUUUAUCGGUAGGGGAGCGUUCUGUUGUAGGAUGAAGUGUUAGCGAAAGCGGGCAUGGACGAAACAGAAGUGAAAAUGUCGGAUUGAGUAGCGAAAACAUUGGUGAGAAUCCAAUGCUCCGAAAACCUAAGGUUUCCUCCGCAAGGCUCGUCCACGGAGGGUUAGUCAGGUCCUAAGGUGAGGCUGAAAAGCGUAGUUGAUGGACAAUAGGUUAAUAUUCCUAUACUGGGAUUGAUUGGUAACGAGGGACGAAGAAGGCUAGGCUAGCCAGAUAUGGGUUACUGGUUUAAGUUUUCAAGGUAUUGAAGGUUAGAGAAAAUAAUCUGAGCUAAGAAACGAAUACACGAUUUUAAUAAUCAAAGUAGUUGAUGUCAUACUUCCAAGAAAAGCUCGCUAUGCCAUAAAUCAAUUUCACCUGUACCUUAAACCGACACAGGUAGGUAGGUAGAGAAUACCAAGGGGCGCGGGAGAACUCUCUCUAAGGAACUCGGCAAAAUAGCCCCGUAACUUCGGGAGAAGGGGUGCCCUGUAACAAGGGCCGCAGUGACCAGGCCCAGCCGACUGUUUACCAAAAACACAGGUCUCCGCAAAGUCGUAAGACAAUCUAUGGGGGCUGACGCCUGCCCAGUGCCGGAAGGUUAAAGAAGUUGGUUAGCGUAAGCAAAGCUAGUGACUGAAGCCCCGGUGAACGGCGGCCGUAACUAUAACGGUCCUAAGGUAGCGAAAUUCAUUGUCGGGUAAGUUCCGACCCGCACGAAUGGCGUAAUGAUUUGGAAGCUGUCUCAAAGAGGGACUCGGUGAAAUAGAAAUGUCUGUGAAGAUGCGGACUACCUGCGCCUGGACAGUAAGACCCUAUGAAGCUUUACUGUAUCCUGAAAUUGGAUUUCGAUUUUUUUUGCGCAGAAUAGGUGGGAGACAUUGAGACGAGUUUUUCGGAAUUCGAGGAGUCACCAGUGAGAUACCACUCUGAGAAAAUUAAAAUUCUAACUUCAUACCGUAAGCCGGUUGAAAGACAGUUUCAGGUGGGCAGUUUGACUGGGGCGGUCGCCUCCCAAAAGGUAACGGAGGCGUACAAAGGUUCCCUCAGAUCGGUCAGAAAUCGAUCUUCGAGUGCAAAGGCAAAAGGGAGCUUAACUGUGAGACAAACAAGUCGAGCAGAGACGAAAGUCGGUCUUAGUGAUCUGACGAUGCUGUGUGGAAAGGUCGUCACUCAACGGAUAAAAGUUACUCUAGGGAUAACAGGCUGAUCUCCCCUAAGAGUUCCUAUCGACGGGGAGGUUUGGCACCUCGAUGUCGGCUCGUCGUAUCCUGGGGCGGAAGUACGUCCCAAGGGUUGGGCUGUUCGCCCAUUAAAACGGCACGUGAGCUGGGUUCAGAACGUCGCAAGACAGUUUGGUCCAUAUCUAGUGUGAGCGUUAGAGCAUUGAGAGGAACCUUCCAUAGUACGAGAGGACCUGGAAGGACACACCACUAGUAUGCCAGUUCUUGUGCCAACAGGAAACGCUGGGUAGCUAUGUGUGGAAUGGAUAAUUGCUGAAAGCAUCUAAGUAAGAAGCCUACCUCAAGAUGAGUGCUCUCCUGAGGCCACGGCAAGACUAGCCGUUUGAUAGACGUUAAGUGUACGGCGAGCAAUCGUUUGA